rnacentral:rRNA from 1 species
AGGUUGACCUCGGAUCAGGUAGGGAUACCCGCUGAACUUAAGCAUAUCAAUAAGCGGAGGAAAAGAAACCAACAGGGAUUGCCCCAGUAACGGCGAGUGAAGCGGCAAGAGCUCAAAUUUGAAAGCUGGCUCCUUCGGGGUCCGCAUUGUAAUUUGUAGAGGAUGCUUCGGGAGCGGUCCCCAUCUAAGUGCCCUGGAACGGGACGUCAUAGAGGGUGAGAAUCCCGUAUGGGAUGGGGUGUCCGCGCCCGUGUGAAGCUCCUUCGACGAGUCGAGUUGUUUGGGAAUGCAGCUCUAAAUGGGUGGUAAAUUUCAUCUAAAGCUAAAUAUUGGCCGGAGACCGAUAGCGCACAAGUAGAGUGAUCGAAAGAUGAAAAGCACUUUGAAAAGAGAGUUAAAAAGCACGUGAAAUUGUUGAAAGGGAAGCGCUUGCGACCAGACUCGCUCGCGGGGUUCAGCCGGCACUCGUGCCGGUGUACUUCCCCGCGGGCGGGCCAGCGUCGGUUUGGGCGGUCGGUCAAAGGCCCUCGGAAGGUAACGCCCCCAGGGGCGUCUUAUAGCCGAGGGUGCAAUGCGACCUGCCUAGACCGAGGAACGCGCUUCGGCUCGGACGCUGGCAUAAUGGUCGUAAGCGACC